UACGAAGGGUGCAAGCGUUACUCGGAAUUACUGGGCGUAAAGCGUGCGUAGGUGGUUUGUUAAGUCUGUUGUGAAAGCCCCGGGCUCCAACCUGGGAAUGGCAAUGGAUACUGGCAGGCUAGAGUGCGGUAGAGGGUAGUGGAAUUCCCGGUGUAGCGGUGAAAUGCGUAGAGAUCGGGAGGAACACCAGUGGCGAAGGCGGCUACCUGGACCAGCACUGACACUGAGGCACGAAGCGUGGGGAAGCAAACAGG
rnacentral:rRNA from 1 species